rnacentral:tRNA from 1 species
GGCGCCGUGGCGUAGUGGUUAGCGCGCCUGCCUGUAGCCCAGAGGUAAUGGGUUCAAGGCCCGUCGCUGCUA